GGGUGAGUAACGCGUGGGGAACCUGCCCUUAAGUUCGGGAUACCAACUCGAAAGGGUCGUUAAUACCGGAUGUGCUGCAUUAGCCGCAUGGCGGAUGUAGUAAAGGGGAGACCCGCUUAAGGAUGGCCCUGCGUUCCAUUAGCUAGUUGGUGGGGUAACGGCCUACCAAGGCGACGAUGGAUAGCCGGCCUGAGAGGGCGACCGGCCACACUGGGACUGAGACACGGCCCAGACUCCUACGGGGGGCAGCAGUGGGGAAUCUUGCACAAUGGGCGGAAGCCUGAUGCAGCGACGCCGCGUGAGGGACGAAGGUCUUCGGAUCGUAAACCUCUGUCCAAAGGGACGAAGGAGUGACGGUACCUUUGGAGGAAGCCCCGGCCAACUACGUGCCAGCAGCCGCGGUAAGACGUAGGGGGCGAGCGUUGUCCGGAAUCAUUGGGCGUAAAGGGCGCGUAGGCGGUGACGUAAGUCAGGCGUGAAAGGCAUCGGCUCAACCGACGCACAUAGCCUGAUACUACGUUGCUAGAGUGCAGGAGAGGAGAGUGGAAUUCCAGGUGUAGCGGUGAAAUGCGUAGAUAUCUGGAAGAACACCAGUGGCGAAGGCGGCUCUCUGGACUGUAACUGACGCUGAGGCGCGAAAGCUGGGGGAGCAAACAGGAUUAGAUACCCUAGUAGUCCCAGCCGUAAACGAUGAACACUAGGUGUAGGGGGUAUCGACCCCUCCUGUGCCGCAGUUAACGCAGUAAGUGUUCCGCCUGGGGAGUACGGCCGCAAGGCUGAAACUCAAAGGAA
rnacentral:rRNA from 1 species